UACGUAGGGUGCAAGCGUUGUCCGGAAUUAUUGGGCGUAAAGAGCUCGUAGGCGGUCAGUCGCGUCUGCUGUGAAAACUCGGGGCUUAACUCCGGGCCUGCAGUGGGUACGGGCUGACUAGAGUGCGGUAGGGGGAGAUUGGAAUUCCUGGUGUAGCGGUGGAAUGCGCAGAUAUCAGGAGGAACACCAAUGGCGAAGGCAGAUCUCUGGGCCGUAACUGACGCUGAGGAGCGAAAAGCAUGGGGGAGCGAACAGG
rnacentral:rRNA from 1 species